AUUAUUCCAAAAAAGUACAAUUAUAGCGGGGCCCUUUGUAUUACUUAUCCUGGUCUCAUCAGCACGCAGUCACCCCUAUAGAACUGUCUAUUUUUCCUCCUCUCUAAACUUCAGUCACGACACCGCGAACCAACCGACGAUUUUUGUACAGAUUCAAGUGGUUUAGUUCGUUAACAAAAAGAAAGCACGUCCUGUUUGGGUUUGAAGAUAAGGGAUUUUAUUUAUUUAUUAUUUUUUUUUUUGGGUUCCAUCCCUUUCGAAUUCGUAUUCAUUCUUGAAUGAUCUAGGAAGAAAAUAUGGCUUGAUGAAUAUUUAUGUUUGGUUGCAACGUUUCUGAAGUUCUCCAAUUUUUGUUGGAUUAUUUUCUAACUUAUUGGAAUUUAUUUGGAACUCCUUUAACCUUCGAAUAUUUGGUUAAGUCGGCCGGUUGGGCAAAGUCCUCCAGGCUUUUCUCUGAGCACGAGUGGCAUACUUCGGGAUGAACCCUUUCUUGAGGUAAGUGUGGAAAUAAGAAUAUCAUGGUUCCCCCUAUCCUCAAAAUCUAAUAAGCAUGGGAAGGUUUGGUUCAAAGGCGCCUGCUUGACAACUUUCUUCAGAAAGAGGGAGUUGUUGGGAGAGAGUAGAGACAAACAAUAAAUGAUGUUCUUUUGCACUCUCUAUUUUGAGUGCUUCUGUAUUCGUUGGCGUCAAUGCAAAUGGUUUAAUGAAUUGGUUUUUUGUGUUAGAACAUUUAUAAAGUUCUCUAAAAUUUAUUGAGUUGUGAUUAUUGGCCGUCAUUUACAAAUAAUUGAACUUUUCUGGUCUGGUACACGGUCGUCAGCAUUUAUUUAGUUGGAUUAGUGGUUUAUCACUUCUGUUUUUCAUUUAGAAGACUUAUGCAUUUAAAUGGUUAUCUUUUAUUAAGCAAAACUGUAGAAUUAGAUGUCCAUCAUGUUAGUUCUAAACUUAAGUGUUGGAUUCGGAUACUGUGUCCAAGAAUAUUGAUCUUGUUAGGAAAACAAAAUUUAUGAGUUGGUUGGAUUUGUUGUCAUCAAUGCAAAUAGUUUAAUGAGUUGGUUUUUUUCUGUUAGAACAUUUGUGAAGUUCUCCAAAAUUUUAUGGAGUUAAUUUCUUGAUUAUUUGCCAUCAUUUACAAAUAAUUGAACUUUUCUGGUCUGAUACACGGUCGUCAGCAUUUAUUUAGUUGGAUUAGUGGUUUAUUGCUUCUGUUUUUCAUUUAGAAGACUUCUGCAUUUUUAUUAAGCAAAAUAGUGCAUGGUCCAUCCAACUGUAGAAUUAGAUGUCCGUCAUGUUAUUUCUAAACUUAUGUGUUGGAUUCGGAUACUGUGUCCAAGAAUAUUGAUUUUGUUAGGG